UCGAGAGUUUGAUCCUGGCUCAGGAUGAACGCUAGCGGCAGGCCUAACACAUGCAAGUCGAGGGGUAGAGGAAGCUUGCUUCCUUGAGACCGGCGCACGGGUGCGUAACGCGUAUGCAAUCUACCUUAUACAGGGGAAUAGCCCAGAGAAAUUUGGAUUAAUACCUCAUAGUAUGUGAGAAUCGCAUGGUUGUCACAUUAAAGUUCCAACGGUAAAAGAUGAGCAUGCGUCCCAUUAGCUAGAUGGUAAGGUAACGGCUUACCAAGGCAACGAUGGGUAGGGGUCCUGAGAGGGAGAUCCCCCGACACUGGUACUGAGACACGGACCAGACUCCUACGGGAGGCAGCAGUGAGGAAUAUUGGACAAUGGGGCGCAAGCCCUGAUCCCAGCCAUGCCGCGUGCAGGAUGACGGUCCUAUGGAUUGUAAA
rnacentral:rRNA from 1 species